rnacentral:rRNA from 1 species
UACAGAGGGUGCAAGCGUUAAUCGGAAUUACUGGGCGUAAAGCGUGCGUAGACGGUUGCGUAAGUCGGAUGUGAAAGCCCUGGGCUCAACCUAGGAAGUGCAUUCGAAACUUCUGAGCUUGAGUGUCGGAGAGGAAGGCGGAAUUCUCGGUGUAGAGGUGAAAUUCGUAGAUAUCGAGAGGAACACCUGUGGCGAAGGCGGCCUUCUGGACGACAACUGACGCUGAGACGCGAAAGCGUGGGGAGCAAACAGG